rnacentral:sRNA from 1 species
UUAAAUUUCAAACCAAUUAUGAGUAAAAGUUUAAAGCGAAAGUGCGAAAACGAUUUUCCCACGGCUUAUUUUAUCGUAUUUAUAAACAAAAGUUUCCAUUAUGCCUAAACUUACAUUAACUAAGUCAGAAUUUAAAUAUUUUUCGUUGUAAAUAUAGUUUAUCAGCUAUAUUUACAAUCUCAAAUAUAUAGCAUUAUCUACACCCUCAUGGUCCUUCCAUUGACUGGCAGUCAGGCCCGGCCCAUGACAUAUUUCUAAGAAACAUGGGUAUUGAGCCACCAAAAGUUUUAAGGUUUUUAGUAUCAAAAUUAUACCUCAAAAAUAUUUGUUGCCUCAUUUUCUAAAUUUUUU